rnacentral:misc_RNA from 1 species
AAAGAUUUCACUGAGUAUGGGAAGCAAAGAUGGAUGCCUAAUUCAGAUGUUAAUAGCUCCUUGGAAGGACUUGUGUUGGGGGGAUUAGCUGGUGGUAUCAGUGCUUAUCUGACGACUCCCUUGGAUGUUGUAAAAACAAGAAUGCAAGUUCAGGGAUCAACUUUGAGGUAUAACGGCUGGUUGGAUGCGGUGAGAACUAUCUGGCG